rnacentral:misc_RNA from 1 species
UGGAAACCCUGCAAGUGCAAGGCCUUCCCUCUCUAGACUCCAUAAAACUUGCUUUUGUACCUCUGCUGUGCAUGGCCAAGGCUGGAAUUGCAAGAACAAAGAUGCUAAUUCUUAGGUACUGUGUCCUUCAUUUCAACUAUAUUCUUUAAAUUAGAACUUUACUUGACAUUAUUGAUGUUUUAGUGGAAUUGAAUGGAACUUAUUUUCAAAGUGGAAAUAGGUUUCAGUCCCAUCUUUUCCCUUUUAUAAUUACGUAAUAUACUUUCCCUAUAAACUUUUACUUGAUUGAUAUGCACAGAACUUAUUCUUCCAAAUCUAACCCAUAAGUCAGAUUGUAUGAUGUUACAUGGCUAAUUAAGUUUUGGUCCUAUAGUCACAAAGUAGCAAUCAUGGCAAGAGCUGGAGUGGUAAAAUAAAAAAUUCUAAUUAGGUAACAAUCCAUCUCUUGAUUUUAUGAUAUUAUGAUCAUUAGUUUUAUUUUGGGUUCUAAUUGGUUUUAUUUUAAUCCCCUUAAGUUGGCUAAUUAGGGUAAUAUUAAUAAUUUUGAAGCUAAUGCCAGAUCAUGCAGGGAAGCUCGACAUGUCCAUAAACAUUUCGCUUUUCUUUCAACAAUAAGACAACAUCAUAAUCAUCAUCAACUGGAAGAAUCGAGAAACUCGAUCAUGGAAGCAAAGACGGAGGACGGAUCUUGUUGGGUACCUCAUCCUCGCACUGGAAUAUAUGUGCCCAAGGGCCAUGAACGGGUGAUGGACGAUGUACCAGAAAGUGCAGCUUCUUUUAAUCAGACUUACUGGCUGAGGAA